GACGAACGCUGGCGGCGUGCUUAACACAUGCCAGUCGAACGGAAAGGCCUCUUUCGGGGGGUACUCGAGUGGCGAACGGGUGAGUAACACGUGAGUAACAUGCCCUUGACUUUGGGAUAACUUCAGGAAACUGGGGCUAAUACCGGAUAGGAGCUCCUGCUGCAUGGUGGGGGUUGGAAAGUUUCGGCGGUUGGGGAUGGACUCGCGGCUUAUCAGCUUGUUGGUGGGGUAGUGGCUUACCAAGGCUUUGACGGGUAGCCGGCCUGAGAGGGUGACCGGCCACAUUGGGACUGAGAUACGGCCCAGACUCCGACGGGAGGCAGCAGUGGGGAAUAUUGCACAAUGGGUGGAAGCCUGAUGCAGCAACGCCGUGUGCGGGAUGACGGCCUUCGGGUUGUAAACCGCUUUCGCUCAUGACGAAGCUUUGUGUGACGGUAGUGGGUAAAGAAGCACCGGCUAACUACGUG
rnacentral:rRNA from 1 species